rnacentral:rRNA from 1 species
GCGUUGUUCGGAUUAACUGGGCGUAAAGGGCGCGUAGGCGGGUCUUUAAGUCAGGGGUGAAAUCCCAAGGCUCAACCUUGGAACUGCCUUUGAUACUGGAGAUCUUGAGUCCGGGAGAGGUGAGUGGAACUGCGAGUGUAGAGGUGAAAUUCGUAGAUAUUCGCAAGAACACCAGUGGCGAAGGCGGCUCACUGGCCCGGUACUGACGCUGAGGCGCGAAAGCGUG